UAUUUAUUCAGGCACUCAAGGUGUCAACUCAAUUUAAAGACACUGAGCUGCCAGUCAGAAUGAAAGUUGGGAAGCUCGCUGACAUUGUGAUGGGGAUCAUGACUUUGGGCAGCAACUCCCAGGCUUUGGGGAGUGAGGCUCAAGUGGAUGGUAAUGCCUAACAAAAUUUGGAGGAAAGAGUCAGGAAGGGGGUUGAUCUGCUAUGGCAGAACAGACACCCACAUUUCCAGUAUGGUGUUGGAUGGAAGUUUGCAACCCCACUUUUUUUUGCCCAUGCUGAAGGCAGAACCUCCUGCUUGGAGGUAGGAAUCAAAAUAGCAUAUGGUGGUGUGUUGCCCGCAAAGACAAGAAAGGUGAAUUUUAAGGCUAAGCAUUCUCAUGCACAGAAACAUAGCAUUUUCAAACCUGGUGGAAAAUUGAAUGGCAAAGGCUUAAUGGAGCUUAUGGGAAAACUCUGUGGAUACAAAUGGGAAAGUGAAAAUGUUGAUAGGUAAAAUAAUUGACAACACUUUUCUGAUGGACGAGAUCUAUCAAUUCAAGUGGUCAUUAGAUCCGACAGAGAAGAAGAUGCAGGCGGGUCUUUUCUUUACAGUUGAACGGUAGAAAUAAACCAAAUAAUACUAUUUGAUACAAUAGUAAUAUGUAAUGUUGGUGAUGCUUUAAACUUCCAUGUAUGAUGCCGACUUGACUUGCUCUUAAUCCUCGA